rnacentral:lncRNA from 1 species
AUGAACGCCUUCAUGGUGUGGUCGCGGGCUCAGCGGCGCAAGAUGGCCCAGGAGAACCCCAAGAUGCACAACUCGGAGAUCAGCAAGCGCUUGGGCGCCGAGUGGAAACUGCUCACAGAGUCGGAGAAGCGGCCGUUCAUCGACGAGGCCAAGCGUCUACGCGCCAUGCACAUGAAGGAGCACCCCGACUACAAGUACCGGCCGCGGCGCAAGCCCAAGACGCUGCUCA